rnacentral:rRNA from 1 species
CCCUUAGACGUUCUGGGCCGCACGCGCGCUACACUGACCGGUGCAACAAGCAUCCGUCCUUGGCCGACAGGCCCGGGCAAUCUUUGAACGCCGGUCGUGAUGGGGAUAGACUUUUGCAAUUUUUGGUCUUCAACGAGGAAUUCCUAGUAAACGCAAGUCAUCAACUUGCAUUGAUUACGUCCCUGCCCUUUGUACACACCGCCCGUCGCACCUACCGAUUGAAUGGUCCGGUGAAGCCUCCGAAUUGGCGCGCACCUCGGUGCCGCCGAGAAGUUGGCUAAACCUUACCAUUUAGAGGAAGGUGAAGUCGUANCA